CUCUCUCUCUCUCUCUCUCUCUCUCUCUCUCUCUCUCUCUCUCUCUCUCUCUCCAUUAAUCAGGCCAGGUAAGCAGCCUCACCUCACCUAGACAGCGAGAGCAGGGGAGAAACGUGACACGAAGCAGCCUUUCCCCCCAUUACCUGCUGACCUGAAACCAAAGAACGCAAGACUCACCAGUUGAUUAAGAGAAGAAAAAGUGUGCCACAGGUGGGAACGCCGCCAGAGAAGCAGGUACAAGACAAAAAAAGACUGUUGAGAACCAGGGCUCCAAACACCUCACAGUUCCGGCCAUUAAUGGACAACGCUGCGUCACUUAGCCGAUUUUAAACAUCAUCAUUUUGUCGUCAUUACUCGCACGGCAAAAUUUCCCAGCAAGAACCAGAACAAAAACAUGUAAUUUCCUUCAUUUAGCUUCCACACGUCACGACCUUGAAUGACCAAACCAGAAUUUUUUGCUGAAAAGACUUACAGGAAGCUUCAGAAAAGAGACAAAGAACUGGUUACAUGACAGACCAAUUCAGGAACUCAUAACCUGUACAAAAUCGUAAACUCUUUAUCAGAAUAUAGUAAAUAAAGAUAUAACUGAAGUA